rnacentral:rRNA from 1 species
GACGAACGCUGGCGGCGUGCUUAACACAUGCAAGUCAAGGGGGCCCGCAAGGGUAACCGGCGAACGGGUGCGUAACACGUGAGCAAUCUGCCUAGAUGUGGGGGAUAGCCGGCCCAACGGCCGGGUAAUACCGCAUACGCUCGUCGACUGGCAUCAGUUGACGAGGAAACUUUCGAGGCAUCUAGAGGAGCUCGCGGCCUAUCAGCUAGUUGGUGGGGUAACGGCCUACCAAGGCGGUGACGGGUAGCUGGUCUGAGAGGAUGGCCAGCCACAUUGGGACUGAGAUACGGCCCAGACUCCUACGGGAGGCAGCAGUGGGGAAUAUUGCGCAAUGGCCGAAGGACUGACGCAGCGACGCCGCGUGGGGGAUGAAGCAUUCGGUGUGUAAACCCUGUUGCUCGGGACGAACGAAGACCUUUCGUAGGGCUCUGACGGUACCGAGUGAGG